rnacentral:lncRNA from 1 species
CUCCAGUGGGCGUCUUGGGCCCCGGCUCUAUUCUGGGCUGCGGGCCUGGGAAGGGCUCGCCGGGUGCCAAAUGAGCUGUCCUAACUCUGCGGGGCUGCAGCUUCCUGCAUGAUGCUGGGGAGCUUGGCGCCUGACCCAGGAUCUAGAAGGCACUCUGGGCAGGCCGCGCUCCGCCCACGAAGGUCUGGCUUACCACACGCUCCUCCCCAUUCCCAGUGA